UUUUUAACUGUGCCUAAAAUUAGUCAAUGAAAAAAUGUCAAGUUUAAGUUUGCAAAUGUCGGUAACAUUAAUCUGCGGUUCACGUGGUUUAAUUUGACAUGCUAAAAAUAUUUUUACGACUAUUUUUGGUCAUAUGUUGAUCAGUCUGAGCAGUUUAAACGGUCAUAAUUUUUAUCUCAAAAUCCGACCAAACGCUGUAUUUUUCCGAGUCAUUUAUUUCGCGCUGAUUAUUUUGACGUGUUCAUUUUAUUUUUUCGAGCAUUUUGGUGCCCGACUUUUAUUUUUUUUGAGUCUA
rnacentral:lncRNA from 1 species